rnacentral:rRNA from 1 species
UACGUAGGGGGCUAGCGUUAUCCGGAAUUACUGGGCGUAAAGGGUGCGUAGGUGGUUUCUUAAGUCAGAGGUGAAAGGCUACGGCUCAACCGUAGUAAGCCUUUGAAACUGGGGAACUUGAGUGCAGGAGAGGAGAGUGGAAUUCCUAGUGUAGCGGUGAAAUGCGUAGAUAUUAGGAGGAACACCAGUUGCGAAGGCGGCUCUCUGGACUGUAGCUGACACUGAGGCACGAAAGCGUGGGGAGCAAACAGG